CACGUAGGAUCCAAGCGUUAUCCGGAUUUACUGGGCGUAAAGCGCGUGCAGGCGGUUUGGAAAGUUGGGGGUUAAAGCUUUCGGCUCAACCGGGAGUUGUCGCUUAAAACUAGCAGACUAGAGGAUGGGAGAGGGAGGUGGAAUUCCGGGUGUAGUGGUGAAAUGCGUAGAUAUCCGGAGGAACACCAGUGGCGAAGGCGGCCUCCUGGCCCAUUCUUGACACUCAGACGCGAAAGCUAGGGUAGCAAACGGG
rnacentral:misc_RNA from 1 species